AGAGUUUGAUCCUGGCUCAGAAUCAACGCUGGCGGCGUGCCUAACACAUGCAAGUCGAACGCGGUUACCUCGCAAGGGGUAACUGAGUGGCGAACGGGUGAGUAACACGUGGGUGACCUACCUUCGAGUGGGGGAUAACGUCCCGAAAGGGACGCUAAUACCGCAUAACAUCCUGCCUUUGAACAGGUGGAGAUCAAAGCCGGGGAUCGCAAGACCUGGCGCUUGAUGAGGGGCCCGCGCCUGAUUAGCUAGUUGGUGGGGUAAUGGCUCACCAAGGCGACGAUCAGUAUCCGGCCUGAGAGGGCGGACGGACACACUGGGACUGAGACACGGCCUAGACUCCUACGGGAGGCAGCAGUGGGGAAUUGUUCGCAAUGGGCGCAAGCCUGACGACGCAACGCCGCGUGGAGGAUGAAGGUCUUCGGAUUGUAAACCCCUGNUUGCUCGGGACGAAAAGCUUCGACCUAACACGUCGAAGUCUGACGGUACCGAGUGAGGAAGCCCCGGCUAACUCUGUGCCAGCAGCCGCGGUAAUACAGAGGGGGCAAGCGUUGUUCGGAAUUACUGGGCGUAAAGGGCGCGUANGCGGCCUGCUAAGUCGAACGUGAAAUCCCUGGGCUCAACCCAGGAACUGCGUCCGAUACUGGUUGGCUUGAAUCCGGGAGAGGGAUGUGGAAUUCCAGGUGUAGCGGUGAAAUGC
rnacentral:rRNA from 1 species